AUCGCUUCUCAGCCUUUUGGCUAAGAUCAAGUGUUGUUUUUACUUCAGCAUGAAUUCUUAUAUAUAUGUAUAUAUAUAUAUAUAUAUAAUUUAUUGUCAAGUUUGCUAACAUACAGUGUAUAGAGUGUGCUCUUGGCUUCAGGAGUAGAGUCAUAUGAUUCAUCGCUU
rnacentral:snRNA from 1 species